GGGUUAAUGCACGCCGUCAACUUCUCUAGGCUUUCCAGCGUCAAGAAAAUUAGUUUGAAGGGGAUCUACGCUGCAGAUUAUGGACACUGAAGAACGUUACGUAAAAUAUGUAACACAAACAAACAAAAACAGUAUGUGUAAACAGUAUGUGCAAAGUUCAAGUCUGGGUGGCCAGAAGUUACAUUUGGUUGUAACAGUGACCCGAUUACCGCCUCUCUCUGCAAACACAAAGGAUCACUUUCCUCAGCGGAUCUACCCCAAUCAUCAUUAACGGGACCCCAGUGGAGAGAGUGAGCAGCUUCAAAUACCUUCAAAUGCCCUGCAAAGAGUAGCUGAGCACAUGUCCAGAACAUCUCUCCCCUCUCUGCAAGACAUCCACACCAGAAGAUGUAAAUCUAGGGCUGUUAAGAUCCUUAAAGACCCCACCAACCCAUCUGCUACAGUCAGGCAGACCCUUCUGCAGUCUGAUGGCAAAGACGGAGAGGCUCAGGAGGAGUUUCUUCCCUCAUGUUAUCAGACUACUAAACAUGGACUUUAAACACACUGAACUUUAUAGACUGGUUGUUUAGUGCUACUCAAUAACUCUCUGCACACUGUGCUUUUUUGACAACCUAACUAUGCAACUCAUCGUCACUGCACAUUGUGUACAUCUCUACACAUUAUCUGUGUAGCAGUUUCUGUGUAGCAUCUCUACAAAUCAUCUGUGUAGUAGUUUAAUACAGUAUAUUGUGUAGAUUUCAUUAUUUGUAUUUAAUUAUCUCCAAAAAAAAAAAAAAACUUUUAAUUUUUUUCCUGUUGUUUCAUUACUUGUUUUUAAUUUUCUCUUAUUUUUUUGCACAGUCUAAAAAGAGUAUGCCAGACCUACAUUUCACUGCUUUUUGCAUGUCAUAUAACAACUAAAACUUGAAUUUUGAAUGGUGUGGAGCGUUACCUGUGAUUGAGUUGGUGAUAAAAAAGGAGAUGGGGAAAAGAGUGUCUUAAAUUGGACUUUGGUACGUCUUGGAAUGUUUUAUUAUUAUUAUUAAUUCUUGUAUUACUAUUUAGAUUUUUUUUUUCUUUUUUAAAUUAAAUGUUUAUUUGUAAAAUUUACUUCCACGCCUUUUGUAAUGUUGUUUCACCUAGAGACAAGGGUGUUUUAACAAUCUAAACAAUAUAAUUCUCCCUCAGAUUUCAAACUUGCAUUAAAGAAAAACAUUAACAUACAGUAAACAUUUUCUUGAUACUGAUAUAAUUAUAAAAUUAAUAUAAUUUAA